UACGUAGGUGGCAAGCGUUGUCCGGAUUUAUUGGGUUUAAAGGGUGCGUAGGCGGUCUUUUAAGUCAGUGGUGAAAUCCUCCAGCUUAACUGGAGAACUGCCAUUGAUACUGGGAGACUUGAGUACAGACGAGGUAGGCGGAAUUGACAGUGUAGCGGUGAAAUGCAUAGAUAUUGUCAAGAACACCGAUUGCGAAGGCAGCUUACUAGACUGUAACUGACGCUGAGGCACGAAAGUGUGGGGAUCAAACAGG
rnacentral:rRNA from 1 species